GACGAACGCUGGCGGCGUGCUUAACACAUGCAAGUCGAACGGAAAGGCCUGCUUUCCCUUGUGGAUUGCGGGUACUCGAGUGGCGAACGGGUGAGUAACACGUGAGUGAUCUGCCCCCAACUUGGGUAUAAGCCUGGGAAACUGGGUCUAAUUCCCGAUAGGACUGCAGGGUGGUGCCUGUGGUGGAAAACGAUUUUCUAGUGGUUGGGGAUGAGCUCGCGGCCUAUCAGCUUGUUGGUGGGGUAAUGGCCUACCAAGGCGGCGACGGGUAGCCGGCCUGAGAGGGUGGACGGCCACAUUGGGACUGAGAUACGGCCCAGACUCCUACGGGAGGCAGCAGUGGGGAAUAUUGCACUAUGGGCGGAAGCCUGAUGCAGCGACGCCGCGUGGGGGAUGACGGCCUUCGGGUUGUAAACUCCUUUCGACCGCGAGGAAGCCACCUGGUUGGAGGGGUGGUGACGGUAGUGGUAGAAGAAGCACCGGCUAACUACGUG
rnacentral:rRNA from 1 species